rnacentral:misc_RNA from 1 species
UUUCCGUAGGUGAACCUGCGGAAGGAUCAUUCACAAACCGUUGCGGUAUAGCACUCUAUAGAGUUCCAUAUCCACCUUCUGUGCAAUCAAUGUUGGGAACGUGAUUUCUUUCCCUUCAUAAAUAUCAUCCUGUAUCUCUAGCAACAGUCGUGGGAUAACCUAUUAUGAAUAUACUUAAUUCUAAUUAUAACUUUCAACAACCUAUCUCCUUGCUCUCGGAUCGAUGAAGAACGCACCUGAUCUGCAUUUCACACGUCCGACCUCCAGUCAGGGUCACUC